rnacentral:rRNA from 1 species
CGAACGCUGGCGGCGUGCUUAACACAUGCAAGUCGAACGAGAAAGUUUCCUUCGGGAAAUGAGUAGAGUGGCGCACGGGUGAGUAACGCGUAGGUAAUCUACCCUUAUAUUUGGGAUAACAGACCGAAAGGUCUGCUAAUACCGGAUACCCUUUUGGUUAUGCGAAUAACUUUGAGGAAAGGUGGCCUCUUCAUGAAAGCUACCGUAUAGGGAUGAGCCUGCGUACCAUUAGCUAGUAGGUGGGGUAACGGCCCACCUAGGCAACGAUGGUUAGCGGGUCUGAGAGGAUGAUCCGCCACACUGGAACUGGAACACGGACCAGACUCCUACGGGAGGCAGCAGUGAGGAAUAUUGCGCAAUGGGGGCAACCCUGACGCAGCGACGCCGCGUGAGUGAGGAAGGUUUUCGGAUCGUAAAGCUCUGUCAGAAGGGAAGAAAUGUUAUAUGGUUAAUACCCAUAUAAUUUGACGGUACCUUCAGAGGAAGCACCGGCUAACUCC